rnacentral:rRNA from 1 species
UACGAAGGGGGGCUAGCGUUGCUCGGAAUCACUGGGCGUAAAGGGCGCGUAGGCGGAUCUUUAAGUCGGGGGUGAAAGCCUGAGGCUCAACCUCAGAAUUGCCUUCGAUACUGGAGAUCUUGAGACCGGAAGAGGUAAGUGGAACUGCGAGUGUAGAGGUGAAAUUCGUAGAUAUUCGCAAGAACACCAGUGGCGAAGGCGGACUUACUGGUCCGGUUCUGACGCUGAGGCGCGAAAGCGUGGGGAGCAAACAGG